CAUCAUGGCUGCUCCGGGGGUAGUGGCGCUGGGUCGGGCCAGCGUGACGUUUAGCGCAAGGAUCCGGGAAGGUGGCGCUGCCGACGACAGCGAGCGCCGCGGUCUCUUCUUCGGCUCUUGCUAUUCGUCUGGUUUUUGACAAUUUUUGACUGAGCGUGACUGUUCCAGUGUGUUUUGUGUAAUGGUCACUGCAAAGAGCCCAGAGGGAGUCUGUGCGUGGGAGCUGUGUGCUGGCGCUCUUCCAGGAUGUCCUGCAGCUUUUAUACAUCUUACGCAGCUAAUGCAUCGGAUUGGAUCGCGUUACUCUGCCUGGACAAGUGGAUGAUGACGGUGAACUGAUGCAAUAAUGCUGCAAAUUCAGUCCUUUGGGAGUCCUUUUGCAAGGUUCGUUAUUUGAAAGGCAUAUAUGCAGAUGUGUUCCCAGUAUGUCAUCUUAACAUUCUGUAGUGGUAAUAAAUUCAUUAACUAUGCUACUCCUAGUAAUGAUAAAUGAUAAAACCUUUAAACAUGCUAAUUGGAUAGUGCCAUAAAUAAAAGUAGCAGCAGUGGAGUAAUUUAGCAAAUAGCAUCCAGUCAUUAUU